UCCAGACUCCUACGGGAGGCAGCAGUGGGGGAUAUUGCACAAUGGGGGGAACCCUGAUGCAGCGACGCCGCGUGGGUGAAGGAGCGUUUCGGCGCGUAAAGCCCUAUCGGCAGGGAAGAAGGAGGACGGUACCUGACUAAGAAGCCCCGGCUAACUACGUGCCAGCAGCCGCGGUAAUACGUAGGGGGCAAGCGUUAUCCGGAUUUACUGGGUGUAAAGGGGGCGCAGACGGCAGCGCAAGCCAGGAGUGAAAGCCCGGGGCCCAACCCCGGGACUGCUCUUGGAACUGCGCGGCUGGAGUGCAGGAGGGGCAGGCGGAAUUCCUGGUGUAGCGGUGAAAUGCGUAGAUAUCAGGAGGAACACCGGUGGCGAAGGCGGCCUGCUGGACUGCGACUGACGUUGAGGCCCGAAAGCGUGGGGAGCAAACAGGAUUAGAUACCCCCGUAAG
rnacentral:rRNA from 1 species